rnacentral:rRNA from 1 species
AGAUUGAACGCUGGCGGCAUGCCUAACACAUGCAAGUCGAACGGGAGUAGCAAUACUCUAGUGGCGGACGGGUGAGGAAUACGUAGGAAUUUGCCCUUAAGUGGGGAUAACCCGGGGAAACCCGGAUUAAUACCGCAUGACCUCGAAAGAGCAAAGUGGGGGAUCGCAAGACCUCACGCUUUUGGAGAAGCCUACGUCGGAUUAGCUAGUUGGUGAGGUAAUGGCUCACCAAGGCGACGAUCCGUAACGUGGUCUGAGAGGAUGAUCAGUCACACCGGAACUGAGACACGGUCCGGACUCCGUACGGGAGGCAGGCAGUGGGGAAUAGUUGGACGAAUGGGACGCAA